UACGUAGGUGGCGAGCGUUGUCCGGAUUUAUUGGGCGUAAAGCGCGCGCAGGCGGUCGCGUAAGUCUGCUGUGAAAUCUCCCUGGCUCAACCGGGAGGGGGCGGCGGAGACUGCGGGACUGGAGGGACCCAGAGGAGCCGGUGGAAUUCCCGGUGUAGUGGUGAAAUGCGUAGAGAUCGGGAGGAACACCUGUGGCGAAGGCGGCCGGGCUGGGGGUGCCCUGACGCUGAGGCGCGAAAGCGUGGGGAGCGAACCGG
rnacentral:rRNA from 1 species